GACUAUUUGAGAGCUGACAGAGGUAUGAUGGAUAGACUAUUUGAGAGAUGACAGAGGUAUGAUGGAUAGAUUAUUUGAGAGAUGACAGAGGAAUGAAGAACAGACUAUUUGAGAGAUGACAGAGGUAUGAUGGAUAGAUUAUUUGAGAGAUGACAGAGGAAUGAAGAACAGACUAUUUGAGAGAUGACAGAGGUAUGAUGGAUAGACUAUUUGAGUGAUGACAGAGGUAUGAAGGGUAGAUUAUUUGAGAGAUGACAGAGGAAUAAAGAACAGACUAUUUGAGAGCUGACACGUAUGAUGGAUAGACUAUUUGAGAGAUGACAGGUAUGAUGAAAAGACUGAUUUGGAGGAUGACGAAUCCCUCUUCUGAGCUCCAUUGGUCAAUGCCAAGGUAUCUGUGGAAACCGAUGAUGUCAUGCUCAGCCCGUCCACCUCCUGGUCGUGAUCUGUCCAUCCCGGAUGACAAACGGAGAGUGACUCAGCAUUUCAUCUUCGCCCAUCCAUCUCUCCUCAUCCUUCU
rnacentral:lncRNA from 1 species